rnacentral:rRNA from 1 species
CCUACGGGGGGCUGCAGUGGGGAAUAUUGGACAAUGGGGGGAACCCUGAUCCAGCGACGCCGCGUGAGUGAAGAAGUAUUUCGGUAUGUAAAGCUCUAUCAGCAGGGAAGAAAGAAAUGACGGUACCUGACUAAGAAGCCCCGGCUAACUACGUGCCAGCAGCCGCGGUAAUACGUAGGGGGCAAGCGUUAUCCGGAUUUACUGGGUGUAAAGGGAGCGUAGACGGCGAUGCAAGUCUGAAGUGAAAGGCGGGGGCUCAACCCCCGGACUGCUUUGGAAACUGUAUGGCUGGAGUGCAGGAGAGGUAAGGGGAAUUCCUAGUGUAGCGGUGAAAUGCGUAGAUAUUAGGAGGAACACCAGUGGCGAAGGCGGCUUACUGGACUGUAACUGACGUUGAGGCUCGAAAGCGUGGGGAGCAAACAGGAUUAGAUACCCGUGUAGUC